GAUGAAUGCUGGCGGCGUGCCUAACACAUGCAAGUCGAGCGGCAGCGAGGGGUGCUUGCACCCUGUCGGCGAGCGGCGGACGGCUGAGUAACGCGUGGGAAUCUACCCUAAAGUGAGGGAUAACCGCCCGAAAGGGUGGCUAAUACCGCAUAUGAUCCUCGGAUUAAAGGAUUUAUCCGCUUUAGGAAGAGCCCGCGUUAGAUUAGGUAGUUGGUAGGGUAAUGGCCUACCAAGCCAACGAUCUAUAGCUGGUCUGAGAGGAUGAUCAGCCAGACUGGAACUGAGACACGGUCCAGACUCCUACGGGAGGCAGCAGUGAGGAAUCUUCCACAAUGGGCGAAAGCCUGAUGGAGCAACGCCGCGUGAAGGAUGAAGGCCUUCGGGUUGUAAACUUCUUUUAUGAGUGAAGAAUAUGACGGUAACUCAUGAAUAAGCACCGGCUAACUACGUGCCAGCAGCCGCGGUCAUACGUAGGGUGCAAGCAUUAUCCGGAGUGACUGGGCGUAAAGAGUUGCGUAGGCGGUUUAAUAAGUGAAUAGUGAAACCUGGUGGCUCAACCAUACAGACUAUUAUUCAAACUGUUAGACUCGAGAGUAGUAGAGGUAACUGGAAUUUCUAGUGUAGGAGUGAAAUCCGUAGAUAUUAGAAGGAACACCAAUGGCGUAGGCAGGUUACUGGACUAUUUCUGACGCUAAGGCACGAAAGCGUGGGGAGCGAACUGGAUUAGAUACCCAGGUAGUCCACGCCGUAAACGAUGGAUACUAGCUGUUGGAGGUAUCGACCCCUUCAGUAGCGAAGCUAACGCGUUAAGUAUCCCGCCUGUGGAGUACGGCCGCAAGGCUAAAACAUAAAGGAAUUGACGGGGACCCGCACAAGCGGUGGAUCAUGUUCUUUAAUUCGAUGAUAAACGAAGAACCUUACCAGGGUUUGACAUCCCGAGAAGAUUUACGAAAGUAGAUUGUGCCUUUUGGAACUCGGUGACAGAUGAUGCAUGGCCGUCGUCAGCUCGUGUCGUGAGAUGUUUGGUUAAGUCCAUCAACGAGCGCAACCCUUGUGAAUAGUUGAAUUUUUCUAUUCAGACUGCCCCGGCAACGGGGA
rnacentral:rRNA from 1 species